rnacentral:rRNA from 1 species
GACGAACGCUGGCGGCGUGCCUAACACAUGCAAGUCGAACGGAGUAGAGAGCUUCGGUUCUCUACUUAGUGGCGAACGGGUGAGUAACGCGUGAGGAACCUGCCUCUCAGUGGGGGACAACAGUUGGAAACGACUGCUAAUACCGCAUAACAUGUACGGAUCGCAUGGUCUGUACAUCAAAGCUUUAUGUGCUGAGAGAUGGCCUCGCGUCUGAUUAGCUAGUAGGGGGGGUAACGGCCCACCUAGGCGACGAUCAGUAGCCGGUCUGAGAGGAGGAACGGCCACAUUGGGACUGAGAUACGGCCCGGACUCCUACGGGAGGCAGCCGUGGGGAAUAUUGGGCAAUGGGGGAAACCCUGACCCAGCAACGCCGCGUGAAGGAAGAAGGCCCUCGGGUUGUAAACUUCUUUUACCAGGGACGAAGAAAGUGACGGUACCUGGAGAAAAAGCCACGGCUAACUACGUGCCAGCCGCCGCCGUAACAC